rnacentral:lncRNA from 1 species
GCCGCCCUAUCCGCCGGCUCCGCUGCCUCCACCGCCGAGAAGCUCCAGGAUGGCAUCCGCCUCCUCGAAAAGCAGCUUCGCUCCGAAGUCCUCCACCGCCACUCUGACCUCCUCAACCAGCUCUCCUCCCUCAAGGACGCCGAUUCCGCCCUCUCCACCCUCCGCGCCGCCGUCUCCUCGCUCCAGUCUUCCGUUCGCCGUGUCCGCUCUGAGAUUGCCGACCCUCACCGCCAAAUCAAGUCAAAAACCAUCCAGCUCUCCAACCUUCACCGCACCACCGACCUCCUCCAGCACUCCAUUCGCGCAAUUCGAUUGUCGAAGAAAUUGCGAGAUCUCGCCAGUGCUGAUCCCGACAAGCUCGAUCUCGCCAAGGCCGCGCAACUGCAUUGCGAGAUCUUGAGCCUGUGCAGCGAAAACGACCUCGCCGGCAUCGAUAUAAUCAAUGAGGAAUUAGCAUCCGUUUCUGAGAUCGGAUCUCGGUUGAGAUCCGAUGCGAUGAAGGUGUUGGAAAGAGGCAUGGACGGCUUGAAUCAGGCCGAAGUUGGGACCGGACUGCAAGUGUUCUACAACCUUGGUGAGUUGAGGCAGACGGUGGAUGCGUUGAUAAACAAAUACAAGAGCCAGUGUGUGAAGAGCGUGAGUGUGGCAUUGGAUAUGAAGGCCAUUUCUGCAUCGUCUGGUGGAGGUUUUGGGCCAGGGGGGAUUAGGGGGAGUGGGACGCCGCAGAUCGGGGGCGGGGCGAAGGCGAAGGAGGCGCUGUGGCAGAGGAUGGGGACUUGUAUGGAUGAGAUUCAUUCAAUCGUGGUUGCGGUUUGGCACUUGCAGAGGGUGUUAUCGAAAAAAAGAGAUCCAUUUACGCAUGUCUUGUUGCUUGAUGAAGUCAUGCAGGUAAGUGGAAUUUGAUUCUCUUUUGAAACUUGUUUGGUUUUGUGAUUUACUUUGAUUUGUUUUGUUUGGUUGAACAAGAAACGAAAUUCAAAUAUUUAUAGCUUAGAUUUCUUAUUAUUUUGGGGAUUGGGAAAACUUAAGCCUCCACUAAAUUGUGCUUCUAGUAAGUAUACUAAUCUACUCGGCUAGUUGACUCUAGUAUACUGAAACUUUAGUCCUGAUUCAUUACUGCUGAAAUCUUCAAAUGGCUGGAAGAGUAAUAAGCCAUCACUCAAAUAAAAUGAGGAUGCCGAACCUUGAUUGGUUGGUUUAUACUUACUAAGCAUAUUUGGUGCUCUUCAAUAAGUUUGGCGGGUCUAACUGAAGGCAUGUCACUGUUGUAUGAAGGAGAUAAAAGCAACUACUCUUUGGACUUCUAGACAAUUUUUGAAGAAAAUUUAAAGAUGGGAACUUCAGAAAAAGAACUGAAACGGAAUGAAAACAAUAAUUAAAACCAUUGUUUCAACAAAAUAAAAGCUAGUUGUUCUGGAGCUUUUAAAUGAUGUAUUAGCUCUUCUUAAUGUUUGUUACCUUUUGUUUUUUCUGUUUUUUGUUUUUUUGGGGUGGUAAUAUGUGAUUAAAUUUCCCUUUUUUCUGCUGACUUUCUGAAAUUUAAAAGUAUUAUCAGCUGAAUCACUGCCCUUCUGCCUUUUUCUUAUGUUAACUCUUAUUUGCUUAGGAGGGUGAUCCCAUGUUAACAGAUAGAGUUUGGGAAGCACUUGUAAGAUCUUUUGCCAGUCAAAUGAAGUCUACUUUCACUGCAUCAAGUUUUGUCAAGGAGAUAUUUACUGUAGGGUACCCAAAGCUAUUCUCCAUGGUAGAGAAUCUUCUUGAAAGAAUUUCUCGUGACACAGAUGUCAAGGGGGUUCUACCAGCCAUCAGUUCAGAAGGAAAAGAUCAGAUGAUUGCUGCCAUUGAGAUCUUCCAGACAUCUUUCUUGGCCCUCUGUUUGGGUCGCCUGUCAGAUCUUGUUAAUACUGUAUUCCCAGUGUCCAGUCGUGGAAGUGUUCCUUCCAAAGAACAUAUUGCAAGGAUUAUAUUACGUAUUCAGGAAGAGAUUGAAGCAGUCCAGUUGGAUGGUCGUUUGACACUUCUUGUCUUGCGUGAAAUUGGCAAGGUUUUGCUGCUGCUUGCACAAAGAGCUGAAUACCAGGUAAUGUCCUUGUUGUUUGCACAAAAACAGUUAUUAGUACAACAUGUAAACAAAGCUUAAGAUUGUAUCUGUCUGUUCUUAUAUUUCCUGCUUAACUUUUGUUUCAAGUUAAAUGAGUUCCUUCUCACAUGGCUCAUAUCAUACACCUUUUUCUUGUCCUUGUUGCUUGUAGUUUUAGUGUAUUGGGACAAACCUUUUCAGUUUCUAUUUCAACAAUAAGGUAUUAGCGGGCUGUUCAUGAUCUCACAGAGACAAAGAUGGGAAUCAGUAAGACUACAUUAAUCCUGAAAAAAUUAGAAAACUGAGGGAACUAUUAGUCACUAUAUGGGGCCUAAACUGGAGAAAACCUAGUCAAGUAUGGCUGAGAAAGAGAGAGAGAGAGAGAGAGAGAGAGAGAGAGAGAGGGGCUGAGGAAUUUGCUGGUUGAUUGUUUAGGCCUUUUGGUCUUUAGAGGUCUGAUGUCAAUAUUUUAAAAUGCUGGAGUAUGUGUUUGGAACAUAAAAUGAGACAAUUAUAGAGAUUCUUACUGUUAUUUGGAUAUUCGCUUUUAUAUGCAUGAAAUGGUUGUAAAGUGUAGAUAGGAGGUUGGUGAGCUGUCUUAAGUAAGCUGUGUAUUUGUGAUAGAGAAAGACUAAUAGUGAAUAAUAAACCUAAAAAUAGGGGGAACUAAGAAAAUUCUAAAACCUCUGCAAUAGUUCAAAUGAAUAAUAAGGCCUUUUGGUCUUUAGAGGUCUAUUGUCAAUAUUUUAAAAUGCUAGAGCAUGUGUUUGGACAUAAAAUGAGACCAUUAUAGAGAUUCUUACUGUUGUCUGGAUAUUCGCUUUUAUAUACAUGAAAUGGUUUUAAAGUGUAGAUAGGAGGUUGGUGAGCUGUCUUAAGUAAGCUGUGUAUUUGUGAUAGAGAAAGAUUCUUCUCUUGUAAGUUUUGUAGACUGGAUAGGCUCCUAGUUAGGGAAAGUGGUGUGUAUACUCCAUGUAUACUUAGAGGGCACCGGUUUUUGGUGUUUCCUCUUUUCGUUUAAUAUACUUCUUUUACUUAUCAAAAAAAAAAAUAGUGAAUAAUAAACCCAAAAAUAGGGGGAAACUAAGAAAAUUCUAAAACCUCUGCAAUAAUUCAAAUGAAUUAUAAGGCCUUUUGGUCUUUAGAGGUCUGUUGUCAAUAUUUAAAAUGCUAGAGUAUGUGUUUGGAACAUAAAAUGAGACAAUUAUAGAGAUUCUUACUGUUGUCUGGAUAUUUGCUUUGGGAUAGAGAAAGACUAAUAGUGAAUAAUAAACCUAAAAAUAGGGGGAAACUAAGAAUAUUCUAAAACCUUUGCAAUGAUUCAAAUGAAUAAUAGUGAUCCUGAUAAUAAAAUGAAAUUUAAGAAAUAGAAACAACAUAAGAAAGGUCAAAUGUAAAUAGAAAGGGAAGUGUAUAACACUUGAGUGCAUAGUGGAAAUGUUUAAUGAAGAAAUUCACUAGGGAGCUAUCCCCCGAAGGCAUUUUCUGUUUUAUGGGCUUUCUUCAGUUGCACGAGUAGUUUGGAGAACUCAUCUCCAAAUUUUCCUUCUCUGUUUCCUUUUCCUUCUCCUUCCCCUCAUUUGACUGGAUAAAAACAGAUACUGGCUGCAGGGUUCUUCCUGGACCUAUCUAUAUAAGUUCAUUUUCCUACUAUCUGGAGACCUUUCUUGUAUAACCUAGUAUGAGCUUUUCCUCUUGGCAAUCAUAUAAUUGGAGGUUUGAGGUUCGGCUUUGAUACUUGAUGAAUUGUUGGCUCCAUUUCUACAUGGGAAGAUAAUUUCCAGUCUGCCAUAGACAACAUUAGAACUCUUAAUGAGUUGCUUAAGUAGUAGGUGAGGAUGUGCUUUGAGGAUGAGAAAGUGAUUUGGGAUAUUAAGGACUCUGUUGGCGACUAAGUUCCAAGUACAAUUAGUUUCAGUUAGGUACUUUGUAAGUGUUGUUAGCACAUAAUUUGCAGAUAUCAUGAUCAUUCUCUCCUCUAAUUAUUUGACCAAUGUUGAGGGCUUUGAUGGUAUUUACUUAUUUACUUUUGGACCAUUAGACCUCGUACACUGUUAAGAAAAUGCUAAUGAAUAUACCAUGGUCACCAUCAUUCUUUUUUUUUUUUUUUUUAUAGACAUUAUUCUUUCUAAAUAUUAUUGUUUGCCAUCCUUAUUUUUAUUAUAUUAUCUACAUCAGAAUAAAUGGAUAUCUCUAAAUGAUAGGUAUCUACUGGUCCUGAAGCACGUCAAGUAACAGGUCCUGCAACUCCAUUACAACUUAAGAACUUCACAUUAUGUCAGUAUCUGCAAGAGAUUCAUACUCGAAUAUCAUCUAUGGUAGCAGGACUACCUGCAAUUGCCUCAGAUGUUUUGUCUCCAGCACUAGGUGCCAUAUAUGGUAUUGCCUGUGAUUCAGUGACAUCCUUAUUCCAAGCCAUGCUUGACCGUCUCGAGUCAUGCAUUUUGCAAAUCCAUGAGCAGAAUUUUGGUGUGCUUGGCAUGGAUGCUGCUAUGGACAAUAAUGCAUCGCCUUACAUGGAGGAGUUGCAAAAGUCUAUCAUUCACUUCCGUGGUGAAUUCCUAUCUAGGCUGUUGCCUUCUAAAACAAAUUCCAUUUCUACAGGGACGGAAACCAUAUGCACUCAGCUUGUUAGGACAAUGGCUUCACGGGUUCUGAUUUUCUUUAUCAGGCAUGCCUCUCUUGUAA